UUCUAAGUGCUUUUGCCCUAAAAUUGAGUGU
rnacentral:piRNA from 1 species